rnacentral:rRNA from 1 species
UAGGGAAUAUUGCACAAUGGGCGAAAGCCUGAUGCAGCAACGCCGCGUGCGCGAUGAAGGCCCUCGGGUCGUAAAGCGCUUUUCUGCGAGAUGAGAAAGGACAGUAUCGCAGGAAUAAGUCUCGGCUAACUACGUGCCAGCAGCCGCGGUAAAACGUAGGAGGCGAGCGUUAUCCGGAUUCACUGGGCGUAAAGCGCGUGCAGGUGGUUUGGUAAGUUGGGCGUGAAAGCUCCCGGCUCAACUGGGAGAGGUCGUUCAAUACUAUCAGGCUAGAGAGCAGAAGAGGAAGAUGGAAUUCCCGGUGUAGUGGUGAAAUGCGUAGAGAUCCGGAGGAACACCAGAGGCGAAAGCGGCGUCCUAGCUCUGUUCUGACGCUCAGACACGAAAGCAUGGGGAGCGAAC